GACAAUAACAACGACAGGUGAAACUGAUCAGGGUGUGACACAGAGGUUGUUCAAGUCGCAUUGAGAAUGGAAUCUAAUUCCGCUUACCAUGCGGUGUGUGUAGUCGCGGUUAUCCAUAACUCAAGCACCGAUUUUCUGGAAAACAGUGCUGUAGCUCUGCCACUUUCCACCGCAGAUGGGAAGGGCGACAUAGGCGGAUGCAGUGGAUUGAGUUGCAGCCCUUGCAAAAAAACAUCUCUAGCUUAAACUGACAGAUUGAUAAUUUUUUGAUUAUGUAUACAUUAUGUAUACAUACAUUAUGUAUACAUACAGAGGAAAUCAAUGUUUUUCAGAGCAGGACAUGGAAAUGCAAAGAACUCUGAAAGAUAUGCGAACACAAAAACUCUG
rnacentral:lncRNA from 1 species